rnacentral:lncRNA from 1 species
UUUAUUCCUUUUCUUGCUUUUGUUCCCCAGCUGAGGAGUUCCACAUGGAUAUAGGAGGUGAUGUUCCCCUUGGGAGAGAAGAUCAAAGCGAGUCUGGGUCUACUUUCCACUGCAUUUGACGUAGUCUCUGCCCGCUUGCCUGAGACGAAAUGGUCCCAAAACUUUGGAAAAACACAGAAAGAAUGCAGAGAAAAAUCCAUAGCUACAUAAGCAUGGAAGCCAGUUGUUUCAGAGAAAGAUCCAAGGCUUGGCUAGAACGAGAGAAAUGCUUAUUGUUUGUCACUGGGAACCAGCCCCUAAACAAUCCAUUUUGAAAAACAACACUUAGUAAUGCAAAAAUAGCAAGUUACUCCUGACUGAUGAGAAAGAUGCGUCCAGAAAACAAGGAGCCUAUUAAAUGGGAUUUGAUAAAUACUUUUUUUAAAAGAAAAAAAAAUCCACCCAACAGGCAAGACAGGAGCAUGAGGUUCCCUGGGUCUAACGACUGGGUCUUGAUCAUUCCUAAAGCCUAGAGCCCAGCCCCGCACCUGUGCUUGGAGGGGAGUGCCACAAAUGUUUGUCGGAUUCCUGGAUCCUUUCAUCAACCCAUCCAAAGGGCAUCCAGUGGAUGCACCAAGGCGCUUAACCUGGCACACUGGGAAAUGAUAACACCACUGAGAGGAAAGGAGAAGCUAGGGAGAGACCUAGUCUUGGGACUAGAUUAUCAAUUAGAUUUGGUUGAUGUGUGGAGGGGACAGGAAAUAUCCAGUGGCCCGAGGACAGCAGGUGGCUGGAAAGACCUUGACCAAGGUUAUCUUUGAUGAUCAGCAGCAUCAAGUCAGCUCUUAGGGAAUCCUCACCAUACUUGCUGCAACCCUUCCUGGAAGUUUCUUCACAGAGGCAUCACCCUGACCCUUGUAAACGUCUCGCUUGCUUCCAUGUCAUACCCCACAGUCCUGGCUAUUCUGAAAACCUCCUAAUCCAGUCUUGGGAACGUUUCGCUCCUCUGAAAAUUCUUCCUCCCUCCCAUCCCCGCAACAAAUGUCCUUUGUCCCGUAAUAAUUAAAAAAAAAAAAAUCCUUGAAGGAUCCAAAUUGAAUAACAAUAAAGAUCUGAUUGGAACCUUCAUAAGGCUGACAAUGUAGAAUUGUAUUUCUUAAAAAAGUGUGUAACCACAUUUGUCUGGGUUGCAAAAGACACCACAGAAUAAGAUCAGAAUAGAAUUUCAACUGACUCCCUAAUUUCCUUAGAAUGGCUUGUAUUUCAAGCUCUUCCUGUUUUUUUCUGAUAGAGAAGGUGUACAUUACUAACUAUAACUGAUAAGAAAGUAUAAAAACAGCCCCUGCCCUAAAAGUACAAUUGAAAUUAGCAUUUAAGUUCACUUUUAUAAAUUAGUCAUUUUAGCCUAAGUUUAAUUACAGCCUAGACUGCUUAUUUACGUUUAAACCGGAUUAUUAUAACUCCUUUUGAUUUAUAAUCACUUCCUAAUUUCCCAUAUUGGGCCAGGACUAGGUCCUCGGAUGAUAAACAAUCAACAGUUACUAAUGAAACAGAAGUCACAUCUAAAUGGAAGGUCAUAUCUGAAGAUGCAGAGAUAAGUAGGUUGGGGCAGAAGACGUUGGGGCUGUUUGCUUGAACUAUACAGCAAGGUGCUUCCUUCAUUUGAAAUGUGACUUGACUUCAAACCUUAAACCUACAAGAAUUUUCAGCCACUGCCAAAUCUGAGAUGAACUGUGUGCUGUGGAGCAUGUCAUUUGUCAUUCGACCUCUUUCAGCUUGCCUUGUGCAGUGAGAGCUUGGGAGUACCAAGGUGGUUCCUGGGUGCUUUGCUCCUUGUGGCUCUUUAGAGCUCUUGACCCCCACUUGGAAAAUGCCUGUAUUCUAUUUAACCCCGACCUUGGCCAACACAUACACCACGCUGACAGCAAAUGCAGGCGUGAAUCCCUUCUUAACACGGAAGAGGUAGGAAUGCUUCUCUGUUGCGUCUGAUCGCAAAAUAACCGACACAUUGAAAGACAAGAGAAAAAAAGUGACUAGUUGAGGUUUUUAUAUAUGUUCAUUGCUUCUAACAUGUUUUUAAGAACAAGAAAAAUGCAACAUCAACUACUCUUAGAGCGAGUGGAGCCACCAUACUGUACAGUUUUGGGGUCAGGCGGCCAGGCACAUUUAUCAUUAAAACCAGGUAACAAUACCCCACAGCAAAAGAAAACCAGCCGGAAGUUAGCCCCCAUGACCUUUUUUUUUUUUUUAUAUAUAUACACAUUUUUUAGAAUACUCUGCCUUUGAACAAUACAAACAAUAACAACAACAACAAAAGACAAACAGGCUUUAUAUUAAAAAUGUCUCUGUUCUUCAUUGUUACUUCUAAAGCAGCUUGGAGGACUUUGCCACUUGGAGUGUACUGCAAAUUGACUCCACUAAAAUGAUCUUGGUAGGGUAGCAGCACAGGAUUUGAUAUUCUAUACUCAUCAUUUUUGACAAUGUAAACCUUUCAUAAAAUAGUAUUUCGCUUAAAAAUGAGAAUCAUUCAAAGGUCUGAUCAUUCUGUUCCCUGAGGCCUGCCAGGGAGGUCUGGCUUCAUACCAUGGGGUUCCUGCUUCUUGGGGUGGGGCACAGGCGCCCCCACAUUUCAGGAAGAAUAUGAAGGAGAGCCACGAAAGGGCCCCGUGGAAAGACGGCAGGAGUGCUCUAGAUGGGUUUCUGUCAAAACAGACCACACAGAGCAACCCUCUGAAGGUCAAACCAUCAUGGCCAGAAUUUAAUCCCCUGGUCAUUUCCCGUCUGGAUUUUCAACGGAAUGAAUCUCAUGGGUUUAACCAAACAUGUAUGUCAGCCUAAAUAAUGCGUUAGAUUCUGAUUUGCCCAGGGACUGGUAAACCUUCACGGAACAAGGUCAAAGGGACAACAGCUACAUCCUUCACAAUAAACAAUUCUGUUGACGUGGAAAUGCACAUAACUCGGUUGAAGCAAAGCUCCACAGUGGCCAGUAUGCUCCAGGGUUUUCAGGUAGCCGAGACCCGGGGCUUAUCUCACCUUCUCAGAAAUGCUUUUAAAGAAUUGAGACAAAAAUCCCAAAUAGAAAAAUGAAAAUUUUUGCUAACGAAUAGUGUAGAGGCCAUUAACUAAAUACAAUUUUUAAAAAAUGCUGAGAUGCAUGUAUCUUUUCUUAAAGCAGCUUUCAAAAUAUCAACCACAGCAUUAAACAUUGAACAUAGUACAUUCCAAAGUUAAUACAGAUAAAUGGUAUAUAAUGCAAUAAUGCCACAGUUAUUCCAUGAAUGUCUCAAAGCUGAUUCUAAGCUUGAAAACAAUAUUUUCUAGUUUAUUCGCUGGCGAUUUCACUUCUUUACUACUUCUCUAGAGUUUCCACCACUGAUUUUUUUUUGUGUGUGUUUUUUCUUUUUUAAUGCCCCAGGAUGUACAGAGAAUUCCCACAUUCCACACCUGGAACUCCCCCCCCACCCCCUGUCAGGUUUUCCAAAAAACAAAACCAAAAAAACCCCAACCUACAAUGACAAAGUAAUGUUUUGCAUCGUUAAUUCCGUAGACAUAGGUCAGUUAAUCCACGACACCUCAUUUCAACGCUUCCUUUAGGAUUUAGGACUUUCCCCAAAGUCAUUUAGAGCCUCGCUCUCAGUUGCGCAGCCAGCGCGCACGCGCCGCGGCCACACGGCGCCCACAGGCCGCAGCGUUCCCUCCUGGUGGCCGCGGAGCCACCUCCCUCUGCAGGGAAGGGCGCACAGCCUCUGUUUCCUGCCCUCCACAGUGAUAAACGUCUUAAGAGCCCUGGCUUCCAGGUUCCGCGCUCCACGAGGCAAGGGGCCCGGCCGGAGGGCCCAGGCCUACGACUGUUCCUUCUGGACAGUGGGGUUCUGAGCUCUGUCACCUUCCAGACAUUCCGAGAGCACGCUGCUCUGUUGAAGACCCUGCGAGCAGGCCCGCGAGUGCCCAGGCUCAGUUCCAGGACGAGGCCUCCGAACGGGGCAAGACUGUGGCCUCUUCGGGAAACGCAGGCACUUGUGGCGGCCUGAUGCUUCUGGAUAAGUCACCAAGACGUUCGCCUCCUCGCAUUCUGGAGGACUCUGCUUCAUACACAGACAGAGCCAGUACUUGGGGGGGGGGGGGGGUGGAUCCAAAAUGUAUGAAUAUACACAUCAGGGCUUAAGGUACUGGAUG